CCCCAGCCCCAACAUGCUGCUGCCAACAUGCUCUGUGUCCUGGGACAAGCCCCUUCCCCGCCUGGAUCUCAGUUUUUCCUUCUGUCAAUGAGGACAUGGCCGGAAAGGUAAAUACUUCCUCUUGGGUGUCCAAUUAUUGAUAGCAGAGCACUGUGUUGAGAAAGAUUCUGCUGCAGCAUCCUAGCUCGAUAGGCAAGAAUGGUGUGAUUUUGGUGAUAGCUGCCUUGCCAUGGCCGUGGCUAGGGGAGGACAGGCACACGUGACUUGUGUUGGCAUUCCAGGCCUAGAUGAUCCCUAAAGAACCUUCUGGUGCAAAUGUUCCAUGAGUAGCCAGUACACAGGCUGAAGAAGCAGACAGAGGUCAUGUCUAGCAUAGGCCUUAGCUUGCUGUAAGGCAGAGACCAUUGCUUCUGCCGGGUGUGUAACAGAGCUAGUCUUGCCCCGCCUGGGCCACAUGGCUGUGGUGCCUUGAGACCCUGGUUGCAGAAACACUUUAGAACUGUGACUGUUCUUCUAAGAAGCCUUCCUGAUCAGACAUCCCCUGGGCCCCUGUGGACACCCUGUCCUUUGUCUCUGCAGGAAGCACUGAGGAGGCCCCACUCAGUUUGUGUGUCUGUUGCCUCCUCCCCUCCCCGCUCCCAGAGAUCAUACAGGAUUCCUCACUGGUCCCCAAGCCCAGCAGGGGUCUGGCACAGAGCAGGGAGCCCCUGGGGAGGAGGAAAAGGACAAAGUGACCAUUUUGGACAUUACUAUCAUCCUGAAAUAAGCAGCUCAAGGAGAAAGUCAGGAGGGCUUGGGGAGGCAGGGGGAGGGGGCAGGCAGCGGGCUGGUGACUUCCUGGACAAGCAUGCCGGCGAUGUUCCUGGUCCUCAGUGUGGCUAUUGUCCCUGCCCGUCCAGAAAGCAGUCUCAAUAGGGCCUCUGUCCCUCCUCCGGCAGCCCGGCCGGCUCAGCGGCGUCCCACCCAGGCAGCUGGGAAUCAAGGACCGACACUUCCUGUCCCUGCCGCGCGAGUGUUCCGAGGGGCAGGGAGAGGGAGAGGGGAGGGGGACCCUCAAGACAAGCAUCCGUCUAUGUCCCCCCUGGAGGAGGGCUGCCCAGCUGGGGGAGGAGGUGGGAGAAGCGAGAGCAGCACUGGGGACGCGCUCACCCCCGGGGCCUCAGCCCCUCUCCUCCCAACCAGCUCUCCCUCUGGGCUGGAGCUGUCAGGAGAGCCACUGUGGCCAUCUUGCUCUUCCUCGAACGGCCAAGCACAUCCUUGCCUCACCUCAGGGCCUUUGCUCUGACUGGUCCCUUGGCCAGAAGCGCCCUCCACCAGCUCUCCCGAUCACUUGUUCCCUGCUCCAUCUGUCUCGAUUCAAGUCGCCACUGCCUCUAAGAGACUGUCUCAGAUAAGCCUCGCACCACGUGCAUCCGUUUGUAUCUAUGUCUUUACCAUAUGUCAUCUCACGCUACAUGACCCGUACUCUUCCCUGGUCUUUCCUGUUUGACGUGGACUGGCCCCAGUGCUUGAAGCAGUGCCUGGCACAUAGGAGGUGACCCACAAACACACGCGGAACGAACAGAUAAAAGUAACACACUUGAACAUCAACCUACACACUGAGGGAUGUGCUCUGGAAGACAGAGCCCUGUAUUUUGGGAGCAUGUGACCAGGUGGCAGGGGAGGAGGCCCCGGGAAGCACAGGAAGAGGCAGGGGAAGGUAAAGUGGGGAGGGAUCUGUGUGGACUGGGGAGCUUGUGCCAAGAGCUGUAAUGACAGGAAGCACGGAGGGCUUAAGGCUCAGAGGGCAGCGGAGGCCAGCCCACACUGGGCCCUGGGACGACACUGCAGGGUGGAUUUUAGUAUAGGACUCACAGGAAGCCAGGGAAGGGUUUUUAAUCAGCUGCGCAAGGUUAGCCUGGCAUUUUAAGAAAGUCUCUGGCUGGGUAGAGAGAAUGGGUUGAAUUGGGUGAGAGAGACAUGAGGACACCAGUUAGGGGGCCAUGGCCACAUGGCUGGUGAGAGGCUGGUGUGGUGGCAGAGAGGAGAAAGGUGGAGGGGUUCCAGAGACAGACAGAUGGUAUAAUCAAUGGGACUUGGGGUAGCCCUCGGGGAGGGCAAGCCAUGGAUCAAGGCUCAACCAUCCUGCCUGGCUGCGGGGUUGGGCCUGGGGUCCCCUUUGCUGGUGGCAGCUCUGGCUCUGAUUGGGGGACAGCAGGGCAGGGGAGGGCAGCAGGGGGUGAUAGCAGUGCCCUGCAGCUGGCAGUGAUAUAUGGGACGAGGACUGGCCGGCACUGGGCAGCAGGCAGCUGAUGGAUGGGACAGCCUCAUGAUAACAAUCUACCCAGCUCCUUUUUCAGGGGCCUGCCCUCAGGAGUCAGGAGUCACCUAUAAAACUGUCACCUGAGCCUGCACAAGCUGCCUCUGGGGACAGGGUCCACCCCAGAGCUGAUGUGGAGGUGGGGCCAGAUACCUUGGUGUGGUGCUGCAAUUACACACACACACACACACACACACACACACACACACACACCCCUGCCCUGUACGCUCAGGCCCAAGGCUCACCCACAGUUCCGAGUUGCCUGCAGGCCCCGGAACAAUUCUUCAGAGCCCAGAAGGAAGGAGGUGUUGCAUCUAAAGAGAGAGAAAACCCAGGAGGGAGGGGAAGAGGCUGGAGUGGGAGGAAAGCUGCCCCAAGCCCUCCGUGGUCCUGCUUUACAGUGUGCACAGCAGCCGAUUAGCGGGGUGUCCAGGGCAGGUGAGAGGACCUCCAGCAUUGUACAACCCAUGAGGCGCAGGGCAGAGCUCAGACCUCUCGGUUUCAAGUCCAGUGCUGGGGGAAGCCUGAGGCCAACUUGGAGAGAUGGGUGGGGAGUGGGUACCUCCAGAAGCUCUCCCAGCACCUUCUCAAUCCUGGGACUGGGCCAUGCUCCCUGAGAGGGUCUCUGAACCCCAGAGAAGCACUAUGUCCCCUGACACUGGCCAGAUCCCCAUGAGGCCAUGUCUUCCUCCCUAGGGAUAGCACCAUGGAAGAGCUUGGUACAAGGACCCAAGACAAGCCCCCCCAGAAGCCCACUGUCCCCAGUCCCAGGAGCCCACCCACAUGUCUUUCUUACAGGUCUUGGACGGUCUCUCCACACCUGCCUGACAUCCAGAAGCCCAGAAGGUCAGGAUCGCAGGAUUGGAAGGUAUACCAUGGGAGACUGCUGUGUGGAAGCCAUGGAGCAAAGCCUCCUUAUUCUGCCUACAAAGGGGUGCUGAGCCAGGGGCCCCGAACCUGGCCUGGGCGAGCACACGUCUGCAGAUGUGCAGGUGUGCACACAGCGCCCAAAGGAACGACACACACAGGUUUUUCUCCCAGGCACACACCUUGGGACAAGCUGCCAGUUCCAUUUGAAGUCGACUGACAGGGAAGCAGGUGGUCGAGGGCAGCAGCUGCUUCUUAAGCCUUCCUGGGACCCAAGGAAGGCGGGUUCCUGGAGCUUCCUGUCAACCUGGAGGCUCCCUGCGGCCUGGCAGCAGCAGAGCCCCUGGUGAGCGUGUGCACCCACAAACCAGAGAGGGGUGUACAUGUGGCACACACACUUGGAGCUCCAUGUAUGUGCACUGUGCACGUGGCUCACAGAGCCCCCUGCUCUGUACCCAUCUCUACAAGCUGCAGUGGUCUGGGGGGAAGGUCCAGGGCUGGGCAGCCACAGGCAACCCUGGAUUUCUCAAAACCAUCAAAACAACUACGUGGAAAACUGGAGGAUCAUGCUGAAGGAAGAAAAAAAUGCAGCCAUUCAUCUCUCCUGGAAACUAUCUUUCUAUUCUCUGGCCAUUGUCUAUCCCAUGACCCCAACAUCCACUCAGCCAGAGAAGCACAGAGUGAAGGAACUAUGGCCGUGCAUCUCUGAGACUUGGGUUUGAAUCCUGUUUCUUUCUUUCUUUUUUUGUUUUUUGUCUUUGUCUUUUGCCUUUUCUAGGGCCUCACCUGCGGCACAUGGAGGUUCCCAGGCUAGGGGUCCAAUCGGAGCUGUGGCCACCGACCUACGUCACAGCCACAGCAACGCCAGAUCCGAGCCACCUCUGCGACCUACAUUACAGCUCGCAGCAAUGCCGGAUCCUUAACCCACUGAGCGAGGCCAGGGAUUGAACCUGCAACCUCAUGGUUCCUAGUCGGAUUCAUUUCCACUGCGCCACGACGGGAACUCCAGCUUCUGCCACUACUGGCAGCAGAAACUUGGGAAAGUCUCUAAAUCUGCUGUGCACUGGCUCAUGGGGCACCGGUUCUGGGGGGUGAAAGGAAAAUGGUGUGGUCUGGUGGACCGGCCAGGGGAGGUCACGUGGGGCAGGGAGAGCCACUUCCUGGGCCUGGUGAAAUCUACCAGGCUGCAAGCUGUGAAUGUGGCAUCCUGAGUAGUGGGACUGGUCCCUGCCACCUCAGGGUGACCCAAAAGUUGAGUGGGUCCUAGGGAAGGUUGAGGGUUCUGUGAAGAAAGCAAAGCCCGAGAAGAACGAGCUGGAAGACCCGUGUAGUAGCCAGAUGCUUAGUGAGGAGGCCUGGGUUCAGGCACCAGCUCUAUCAGGCAAGUCCCCUCCUCUUUCUGGGCCUCAGUUUUCCCAUCUGGAAUCAGGGGGUGUGUGUUUCGAGACGCCUCGGAUGCAAGAGACUCUGCUGUCUGAGCCACAGCUGACAAUCUAGGAACUGAACACCCUUGCUGUGAGAUGGGGCCAGGGCCCUGAGUGAACAAGAGAUGCUGCUACGCAUCUAACCCACAGCUCUUCCUGCUGCAUGGUCAGACACACCCCCUCACCCUUGCCCUACCUUCCACUCCUCCGUUGACAGUGAUGGGACAAGAGCCAGAGCAGCGAGAGCUCUGUGGGGUCUCCAGGCUCCCCACCCCAACCCUUCCCCUCAGAGAGGCCAUCCAGGCCACGCAGGGGAGGGGGCACGCGUCCAAGCUUACACAAUCACCACCUUGUCUGGGGGAGACAAAGGCCAGGCUCUGGGCCUUGGCGGCCAACUGCCCGGCUGGAAUGACAGAUCACAGACUUGCUGAAUUAAGAAUUUUAAAAAAUGUUAGUACAAUAGCUUCGAUGCUGAAGAAUCUCUAAAAUUCAGAAUAAUGAUGUAUUAGAAUCACAGACGCAGAGAUUCUUCAUUUCAAAGAAAGGCAUGUUGAAA
rnacentral:lncRNA from 1 species